UACGUAGGGGGCAAGCGUUGUCCGGAAUCAUUGGGCGUAAAGCGCGUGUAGGCGGCUUGGUAAGUCUGCUGUGAAAGCCCGGGGCUCAACCCCGGGAGGCGGGUGGAUACUGUCAAGCUCGAGUCCGGAAGAGGAGUGUGGAAUUCCUGGUGUAGCGGUGAAAUGCGCAGAUAUCAGGAGGAGCACCAAUGGCGAAGGCAGCACUCUGGGACGUGACUGACGCUGAGACGCGAAAGCGUGGGGAGCAAACAGG
rnacentral:rRNA from 1 species